CCAAACAACAGGGUCAAAAGGAUAACACGAUGGAUGGACAUGUUUGUUUGAACCAACAUGUACCAAGAGAGAGGCAGCACCCCAACACGCAGAGGAGUUGUACCUCAAUACGUCAGGAGUGAUGUGUAACUUGUUUGUACCUGUGUAUAAGAAUACAUCCCUGGGGCGGUGUCUUUGUCUGGCCUAGAGGGCAAUGGAGUGUCCCACCACUGUCUGAACCGGUCCAUUGUCAGGGGCACAUAUUCAUAGUAUGUCCUGCAGAGUCUGUGGGAAACUAUUACUGUGCUUCAUUUGACAAUAAACCUGGCCAGGCGCCUUUGUACCUUAUGUCUGGAUCAUUGGGGGUUCUCUCGGAGUCUGCUGUGCCAGCGAUCUGCAGAGCGGGGCCAGCACACAGAGGGAACACACACACGCAGCUGACUGUUAUCAACAUUGAACAGAGCAAAGCACCAUACCGGUGACAUGUGGCAACACUGGUGACCACAACUGCUGAUCUGCCAGGAUAAAAACCAGGGGCCCAGUUCCCAACUCUGCAGAUUCCCAACUGCUUUGACCCACUGAACCGCACUCUGGGCUCAUAUCUAAAAAGGUUUCCACCUUUGGCUCCCAGACACAACAAAGCAUCAUGAAAGUUUAAUACCUUCAAAGUAUUUGCAUGGACCUCUAUUAAAAUCUAUUUUGGUUUAAUUUUAUAGUUGGUUUAAUUUUAUAUGCUUUUCUUUUGUUAUGUUAUGUUAAUGGGAAGCAGUGGUUGUUAAAGUUUGUGCUUCUAAACAGUUAACAGGAGUGAAAUUGGUAUCACAAGCAAAUUAACUCUAAAAAGCUCGGUAAAAAAUAUGUUAUUGACUCUGUUGCUAACAGAAUGUUCAGCAGGAAAAAAAAGCAAUACACCUUCUCACAGAAGAUUGUGAGCAUUUAUUUUAGUCAUUGAGCAUUAUAUUUAGUAUGAAAUAUUAGUAAUGCACCUCAAAUGGAUGAAAAUGAAUGUCUACACAACAAUUGCAAAAAUACAGCUUGUGUUAUAAAAGACUCAGUCCCUAUUACCUUGUCCCUAUUACACUGUAGACAAACUCAGUUAAACUUUGUAUUAAGUUUUUCACAAAAACAAAAAAGAAAACAAAAAAACUUUACUAUGUUAACUGACAAAAGUUGUUUAAGUUGCAUCCCACAGACCAAAGACACCAGAAAAUAUCACACCCUGAAGACACCAGAAAAUAUCAGUAUACAGUGAAGAAACCCCCAAGCAUCAAGAAAAGAAAAAUGAAGUGCUUUAUAAAAAAGAGACUGGUCAAAUACACCUCUAUCUACCAUUUAAUAGUAUCAACAAUCAGCUAAAAACCACUAGCUGGACCAGGAUAAACUGUCAUUUAAUUUCAACUUGGUUACUGUGUAAAAACAACGAUAUUAUUGCUGUACUACUGUACUCUCGUUGUACUGUUCUA